GGUAACGGGAAAUUAGGGUUUGAUUCCGGAGAGGGGGCCUGAGAGAUGGCCACCACACCCAAGGAAGGCAGCAGGCGCGUAAAUUACCCAAUCCUGACACAGGGAGGUAGUGACAAUAAAUAACAAUGCCGGGCCUUCUUAGGUCUGGCAAUUGGAAUGAGAACAAUUUAAACCCCUUAUCGAGGAACAAUUGGAGGGCAAGUCUGGUGCCAGCACCCGCGGUAAUUCCAGCUCCACUAGCGUAUAUUAAAGUUGUUGCAGUUAAAAAGCUCGCAGUUGAACCUCUGUCUGGGGCUAGUUUUGGCUUUGGUCAGGCUAGUUCUAGGCAUCCGCCUACAAGACUUAGAGGGCAUUCAGUUGUUCACUAGGAGGAGUAGGCAUUUUACUUUGAAAAAAUUAGAGUGUUUAAGGCAGGCAAUCGCCCGCAUAUAUUAGCAUGGAAUAAUAGAAUAGGACACUUUUCCAUUUCGUUGGUUAUUGGAAUCGUGUAAUGAUUAAUAGGGACAGUUGUGGGCAUUUGUAUUUAAUUGUCAGAGGUGAAAUUCUUGGAUUUAUUAAAGACAAACUAACGCGAAAGCAUUUGCCAAGGAUGUUUUCAUUAAUCAAGAACGAAAGUUAGGGGAUCAAAGACGAUCAGAUACCGUCCUAGUCUUAACUAUAAACUAUUCCGACUCAAUGUUUGACUGGCUUAUAUAACCAGUUGAGCGUUGUAUGAGAAAUCAAAGUCUUUAGGUUCUGGGGGGAGUAUGGUUGCAAAGCUGAAACUUAAAGGAAUUGACGGAAGAGCACAACCAGGAGUGGAUUCUGCGGCUUAAUUUGACUCAACACGGGGAAACUUACCAGGUUAAAACAAUAGUGGGAUUGACAGUUUGAGAGCGCUUUCUUGAUUGGUUGGGUGGUGGUGCAUGGCCGUUCUUAGUUGGUGGAGUGAUUUGUCUGCUUAAUUGCGUUAACGAACGAGACCUUAACCUGCUUACUAGACUGGCGAUCAUCAAUCGUUAGCUCUUCUUAGAGGGACUUUGGUUGUUUUAACUCCAAGGAAGUUUGAGGCAAUAACAGGUCUGUGAUGCCCUUAGAUAUCCUGGGCCGCACGCGUCAUACAAUGACUAGUUCAGAAAGUUUUCUCCUGACCCGAAAGGGGAUGGGUAAUCUUGAUAAUACUAGUCGUGUUAGGGAUCGAACUUUGCAAUUAUAGAUCUUGAACGAGGAAUUCCUAGUAAGUGCGGUUCAUCAGACCGUACUGAUUACGUCCCUGCUCUUUGUACACACCGCCCGUCGCUUCUACCGAGUGGGUGGUCCGGUGAGAUAAUUGAACUUCGCAGGUAACUGAGAGGAAAGAUUAUCAAACCUAUCCACCUCGAGGAAGAAGAAGUCGUAACAAGGUU
rnacentral:rRNA from 1 species